rnacentral:rRNA from 1 species
GACGAACGCUGGCGGCGUGCCUAAUACAUGCAAGUCGAACGCUUCUUUUUCCACCGGAGCUUGCUCCACCGGAAAAAGAGGAGUGGCGAACGGGUGAGUAACACGUGGGUAACCUGCCCAUCAGAAGGGGAUAACACUUGGAAACAGGUGCUAAUACCGUAUAACAAUCAAAACCGCAUGGUUUUGAUUUGAAAGGCGCUUUCGGGUGUCGCUGAUGGAUGGACCCGCGGUGCAUUAGCUAGUUGGUGAGGUAACGGCUCACCAAGGCCACGAUGCAUAGCCGACCUGAGAGGGUGAUCGGCCACAUUGGGACUGAGGCACGGCCCAAACUCCUACGGGAGGCAGCAGUAGGGAAUCUUCGGCAAUGGACGAAAGUCUGACCGAGCAACGCCGCGUGAGUGAAGAAGGUUUUCGGAUCGUAAAACUCUGUUGUUAGAGAAGAACAAGGAUGAGAGUAACUGUUCAUCCCUUGACGGUAUCUAACCAGAAAGCCACGGCUAACUACGUGCCAGCAGCCGCGGUAAUACGUAGGUGGCAAGCGUUGUCCGGAUUUAUUGGGCGUAAAGCGAGCGCAGGCGGUUUCUUAAGUCUGAUGUGAAAGCCCCCGGCUCAACCGGGGAGGGUCAUUGGAAACUGGGAGACUUGAGUGCAGAAGAGGAGAGUGGAAUUCCAUGUGUAGCGGUGAAAUGCGUAGAUGUAUGGAGGAACACCAGUGGCGAAGGCGGCUCUCUGGUCUGUAACUGACGCUGAGGCUCGAAAGCGUGGGGAGCAAACAGG